CACGUAGUUAGCCGUGACUUUCUGGUUGGAUACCGUCACUGCGUGAACAGUUACUCUCACGCACAUUCUUCUCCAACAACAGAGCUUUACGAGCCGAAACCCUUCUUCACUCACGCGGUGUUGCUCCAUCAGGCUUGCGCCCAUUGUGGAAGAUUCCCUACUGCUGCCUCCCGUAGGAGUAUGGACCGUGUCUCAGUUCCAUUGUGGCCGAUCAGUCUCUCAACUCGGCUAUGCAUCAUCGCCUUGGUAAGCCGUUACCUUACCAACUAGCUAAUGCACCGCAGGUCCAUCCCAGAGUGAUAGCCAAAGCCAUCUUUACAAACAAAGCCAUGCAGUCUUUUGUUGUUAUGCGGUAUUAGCAUCUGUUUACCAAAUUGUUACUCCCCCGCGUCCGGGGCUACGGUUACCUACGGUUGUUACUCACCCGUCCGCCACUCACUGGUGAUCCAUCGUCAAUCAGGUGCAAGCACCAUACAACUCGAGUUGGACCUA
rnacentral:rRNA from 1 species